rnacentral:rRNA from 1 species
AUUGAACGCUGGCGGCAGGCCUAACACAUGCAAGUCGGACGAGCGGCGGACGGGUGAGUAAUGUAUGGGGAACUGCCUCUUGGAGGGGGAUAACUACUGGAAACGGUAGCUAAUAACGCAUACCAUCAGAAUAACCCAUCUGGGAAUGGUGGGUAGGGGGGGUAACGGCUCACCUAGGAGAAGAUCCCUAGCUGGUGUGAGAGGAGGAUCAGCACCACUGGGACGGAGAAACGGCCCAGACUCCUACGGGAGGCAGCAGUGGGGAACAUUGCACAAUGGGCGCAAGCCUGAUGCAGCCAUGCCGCGUGUAUGAAGAAGGCCUUGGGGUUGUAAAGUACGUUCAGUCGGGAGGCGUUACCGACAGAAGAAGCACCGGCUAACUCCGUGCCAGCAGCCGCGGUAAUUC